AGGGAUGAUGGAGGAGAUAAGGCUCGGAUGCCUCCAGCCCCAGCCUCCUUUCGACCCUAACUGUCUGAGAGGUCCCCGUCAGAUGGGCCCACUGACUGUACGACUAUGAAAUUGUUGUUGACCAUGAUGCUUUGGCAUGGCUUGCUAUUGACCAAACAGCUAUUGGCUUUCCCUCUAAAUGUUUCAACCAAUGGUGAUUGUUGCCAGAACCACUUAUUUGAUUAGAAGUUACAGAAUGAAAAAAAAAAAAAAGAAGUUACAGAAUGGUGUUGAUCUAAUUCUAUCCCUCUUCCCACAUUUAUUUGCAGGCAUUCUUUCCCUCAGCAGCUAGGCAUCCUUGGUGAUCCUGAUGUGUGGACUCUACAAGAAAGACAGGGAAGUCGUGGGGUUCUUUACUGUCCAUUGGUGGCCGCCUUCCACAGCAGUGACAUGGCCCUUCUUGGAUGUGAGGCCCAGAUCAAAGCAGGAGAGAGAAGAAGCCUGAGGAAGGUGCCCCAUAACGUGUAGAAAGGAUCCACUUGUGUUGUGCCUGCCCCAGGGUGGUGCCCGAGGUCUUGCUGUGGCUCUGAGGAUCACCAGCGUGCGUGGGGCCGGUGGGGGUGAGGACGCCGAGUCCUGUCUGCCCUGCACGCGGCCUGACCACGCAUUCGCGUGAGUAAUGUCUGGCGGUGGAGCCAGGCCCGAAUCUUGGACGUUUUCCUCAGUGCGGGACAGACUUCGUUUGUUCUGGAAUAGUACCAACAGCAUUAGGUGCAAUGGAUCCAUGGAGGAAACACCCCUAAACACAACAUCCCCCUCACAAGAAAAAAAUGGUGGAACACACAAACAUUAGCAGAGCCAAAGUGUAUUUGUGGUGAAAAUGCACCUGGCUAAAACUACAUUAAACAGUCUCUCUUGAAGCAGGGGGUGGCCCAUGAGAUGUUGGCAGGACAGAAGGGCUGCUUGCGGGGAGUCAAUCCAGUAGGGAGGAUGCACUUUUGUUCUGUCCCUCUUUCCCCUUUCUGCUGCCUGGAAUGCUGAUUGGAUGGCUGGAACUCUGGUAGCCAGUUUGGAACGUGAGGUUGCCUUGAAGAUGGCACCAAGUACUGGAAUAGUGGAACAGAAAGAAGGAAGAAUGCUGGGUCCCUGUUGACAAUGGAACUGCUGUACCAUUUCUGGCUGACCUUCAUCUACACCUUUUUGUGUGAGAGAGAAAUGUACUUUUAUUGUGUUUAAGCCACUGCUUUUUUGAGUUUUUAUAUGCAGUCAAAACUAAUCCUAACAUACAUUAAACAAAUCUUUUGUGUGUGUGUGCCUUUAUUUUUAAUUUUUUUGUUCUUAUUUUUAUUUUAUUUUAAGAGACAGAGAGUGUAUGAGCAGGACAGGGAGAGGCAGUGGGAGAGGGAGAGAGAGAAUCCUAUGCCCAGCACAUGGGCAUGAUCCCACAACCCUGAGACCUUGACCUGAGCCGAAAUCAAGAGUUGGAUGCCCAACUGACUGAGCCACCCAGGAGCCCCUUGUGGAUUUAUUUUAUUUUGUUGUUUAUAUUUGUAGCUUAUUUUCAAUUUUUAUUUUAGGUAUAUAACUUCACAUGUUUUGUAUAUAAACAUUUUGUCUAGUCACACUUACAUUAAAAAUUUUAGUAAAAAUGCAAAUUUGUGUAUAUUUUAAAAAUAAUUUUAUGAGCAUCUAGCAUUGUGCCUGGGACAUAGUAGCUGCUCACUAAAUGUUUGUUGA